rnacentral:sRNA from 1 species
AACUGCCCCAGAUGGAAAUGAAAAGCCUUUUUGAAAGAAACUAUACUUUUUCUUGAACCAGAAAAACGAAUGAAUCCCGAUAACUAUCAGGACUCUCUUGUUCUUAGAAAAAAAAUAGUUACGACAAAAAACUUGUAAUGUACAGCUGGAUAAGGC